rnacentral:rRNA from 1 species
AGCGAACGCUGGCGGCAGGCCUAACACAUGCAAGUCGAACGAAGCCUUCGGGCUUAGUGGCGGACGGGUGAGUAACACGUGGGAACGUACCUUUUGGUUCGGAACAACUCAGGGAAACUUGAGCUAAUACCGGAUGAGCCCUUAGGGGGAAAGAUUUAUCGCCGAAAGAGCGCCCCGCGUUAGAUUAGCUAGUUGGUGAGGUAAAGGCUCACCAAGGCAACGAUCUAUAGCUGGUCUGAGAGGAUGAUCAGCCACACUGGGACUGAGACACGGCCCAGACUCCUACGGGAGGCAGCAGUGGGGAAUCUUGCGCAAUGGGCGAAAGCCUGACGCAGCCAUGCCGCGUGAAUGAUGAAGGUCUUAGGAUUGUAAAAUUCUUUUACCAGGGACGAUAAUGACGGUACCUGGAGAAAAAGCCCCGGCUAACUUCGUGCCAGCCGCCGCGGUAAUAC